ensembl:snRNA U6 U6 spliceosomal RNA
GUGCGCACUUCAGCAGCACAUAUACUAAAAUUGGAACGAUACAGAAAAGAUUAGCAUACCCCCU